rnacentral:rRNA from 1 species
UACGUAGGGGGCUAGCGUUGUCCGGAUUUAUUGGGCGUAAAGGGCGCGUAGGCGGCCAUGCGUGUCUUUCGUGAAAUCCCUCGGCUUAACUGAGGACGUGCGGAAGAAACUGCAAGGCUUGAGUCCGGGAGAGGGGGGUGGAAUUCCCAGUGUAGCGGUGAAAUGCGUAGAUAUCUGGAGGAACACCGGUGGCGAAGGCGGCAUCCUGGACCGGCAUUGACGCUGAGGUGCGAAAGCGUGGGGAGCAAACAGG